CCUACGGGAGACAGCAGUGAGGAAUAUUGGUCAAUGGGCGGGAGCCUGAACCAGCGAAGCCGCGUGAGGGAAGAAGGCGCCAAGCGUCGUAAACUUCUUUUGUCGGGGAACAAAGGGAGCCGAGUGUGGCGUUGUGGGAGUACCCGAAGAACAAGCAUCGGCCAACUCCGUUCAUGCAGCCGCGGUAAUACGGGGGAUGCGGGCGUUAGCCGGUUUUGAUGGGUUGAAAGGGUGCGUAGGCGGUCCGGAAAGGCUGCGCUAAACGCCCGGGGCUAAGCUCCGGCGAGCCGUUGAAACUGUCGGACUAGAGACGGCGAGAAGUACGCGGAAUGCGCGGUGUAGCGGUGAAAUGCAUAGAUAUCGCGAAGAACUCCGAUUGCGAAGGCAGCGUACUGGCGCCGGACUGACGCUGAGGCACGAAAGCGUGGGUAUCGAACAGGAUUAGAUACCCUAGUAGUC
rnacentral:rRNA from 1 species